AGGGGGGGGGGGGGGGGGGGGGGCGGGGGGGGGGGUGGGGGGGGGGGGGGGGGGGGGGGGGGGGGGGGGGGGGGGGGGGGGGGGGGAUUGGGGGGGGGGGGGGGGGGGGGGGGGGGGGAGAGGAAGGG